GCGCCUACCCAAAGCGUCCAUCUGUGCCAACGAAACUCGUUUGCUUUCUCAGUGGGAGUUUCGAUCUCGUUUCAUAGUGUUAGAAACGCUACCCAACUCGUGUCGUGGGGAUGAAAUAAAUUUCUUCUCUCUUCUCUUCGUUUCAUGUAAAAAGGCCAAAUCUUCUAUCGUGGCACCCUAAUAAAUGUGCAUAACAUCCUCAUAAAACGUCUAAUUGAAACUGACCUAAUACUCUGGAUCCGCCCGUGGUGCUGUGAUGUUUCGUCUGUCCUCUAUUAUAAGCUUGAUUGACAACGCUGCACACUCCUCAUGCUUGGAUGCUUGCCAAGCACCCAUGCAAGUCUGAUCCUGUCCUUCCUGGCUGCUUAACUAAAACUUCACCGGGUACAGAUUAACUGAUGGCCUAGAGAUGACCAAACGAUAGAAAGGAGGAAGACAAAGGUCCUUGACACUGCAGUUGAGUGGAAAGGAGGUGCGGAUGAAUUAAUUAAUGGCACUAUGAACUGGACUAUGUAUAUGCUCCCUCCAUGUCAAAAAAAAAAUGUUGUUUUUGACUUUUAGGAAUAUUAUUUGAUAAUCUUUCUUAUUCAAAUUUUUUCCUAAAUAUCAUAUAUUUUGUUAUGGCUUAUUUUAUUAUUAAAUAUAUUUUAAUAAUUAUUUAUUUAUUUUAUAAUUUAUAUAAAAUUUUUGAAUAAGACGAAUGGUCAUAUCCGAAAAUAAAAAUGUCACUCUUUGAGAUGGAGGGAGUAUGUCACUACUACCAAAACAACUUUUCCCAGAUAGGCACACUACAUUAACCGAGGUAGGUAUCGAGUUCCUCUAAUCUAAAGGUCAUAGUUAAUAAGUUAUCUACCAAGGCAGUUCAAAGGUCUAUCUCGGUAAAUCAAUUAAAAAACAAAAAAGAAAAGGAAAAAAAAGCCCGCAGCCUAAACUGGGCCUGCAUCUAGGCCUGGAUCCGCCGCCACUCGCUAGGGCUGCGUCGCCGCAUCACACGUGCACUACUACACAAGUGUUAACCGUGACGGGCACUUUACGUUUACUACAGCGGUCAUUGGCGUCCGCCACGAAUGAAAGGUCACGGUUAAUCGUGGCCACACUGUGGCGGGCGCCUGUGCCCGCUGCAGAAAAUAGAAUUAUCGUAGUGGGCAACAUAAGGUGCCCGCUGCGGUUAAUCCCAUUAACCGCAAUGGGCAUCUUAUGUUACCCGUCAUGGCUAAUGAUUUAAAAACAAAAAAACCCUAGACAGGCCCGCCGAGCCCAUCCAGGCUGUUGCCGCCGCCACCAGGGAAACCCUAGCGUCACCGGUCCAAGGUCGUCGCCAUCGUCAUCCAUGGAUCCGCUCUAAUCCACCUUCUCACGCUGGAAGCAAUCAACCCCCACAUAGGAGGGAGAGACACGACCCCCGCCGCCACCGGAGAUGGGCGUUACCAGCCUCCACCUCCCAGAUCUGGCUCAUGGCGGCUCCUUUACCGGAUCUAGAAAGAGAGAAGGAAGAACAGUGAGAUGAGUGAAAAAGAGAGGGGGACGGAAAGAAGAGGAGCAGCAGCGGCGUACCUCAUGUCGACACAAAGGGGGAUCCGCGUCUUGGCGCCUUCCCCGCCG
rnacentral:lncRNA from 1 species